GAUGAAGAACGCAGCGAAAUGCGAUAAGUAAUGUGAAUUGCACAAUUCAGUGAAUCAUCGAAUCUUUGAACGCACAUUGCGCCCGCCAGUAUUCUGGCGGGCAUGCCUGUUCGAGCGUCAUUUCAACCCUCAAGCCCAGCUUGGUGUUGGGGAUCGGCACAGGCGCCCUCGGGCGCCCGCCGUCCCCUAAAUCUAGUGGCGGUCCCGCUCCAGCCUCCUCUGCGUAGUAGUUUUCUCCUCGCAAGGGCAGCUCGGUGGCGACCUCGCCGUAAAACCCCCAACUUCUGAAAGGUUGACCUCGAAUCAGGUAGGAAUACCCGCUGAACUUAAGCAUAUCAAUAAGCGGAGGA
rnacentral:misc_RNA from 1 species